GACGAACGCUGGCGGCGUGCUUAACACAUGCAAGUCGAACGGAAAGGCCCUGCUUUUGUGGGGUGCUCGAGUGGCGAACGGGUGAGUAACACGUGAGUAACCUGCCCUUGACUUUGUGAUAACUUCAGGAAACUGGGGCUAAUACCGGAUAGGAGCUCCUGCUGCAUGGUGGGGGUUGGAAAGUUUCGGCGGUUGGGGAUGGACUCGCGGCUUAUCAGCUUGUUGGUGGGGUAGUGGCCUACCAAGGCGUUGACGGGUAGCCGGCCUGAGAGGGGGACCGGCCCCAUGGGGAGUGGGCCAGCGUCAUGGGGCCUGAGGGAGGCAGCAGUGGGGAAGGGGGGACAAGGGGGGGAAGUAUGACACAGUGGGGGGGAGCGUGAGAAGAAGGGCCCCGGGGCGGAAAGACGUCUUUGGGGGGAGGAACGGCUGUCAGUUGAGACCGAGCGGGAUUGAGGGUAAGGGAAAAAGAAGCACCGGCUAACUACGUG
rnacentral:rRNA from 1 species